rnacentral:rRNA from 1 species
UGGGGAAUAUUGCACAAUGGGCGCAAGCCUGAUGCAGCCAUGCCGCGUGUGUGAAGAAGGCCUUCGGGUUGUAAAGCACUUUCAGCGGGGAGGAAGGCGUUAAGGUUAAUAACCUUGGCGAUUGACGUUACCCGCAGAAGAAGCACCGGCUAACUCCGUGCCAGUAGCCGCGGUAAUACGGAGGGUGCAAGCGUUAAUCGGAAUUACUGGGCGUAAAGCGCACGCAGGCGGUCUGUCAAGUCGGAUGUGAAAUCCCCGGGCUCAACCUGGGAACUGCAUUCGAAACUGGCAGGCUAGAGUCUUGUAGAGGGGGGUAGAAUUCCAGGUGUAGCGGUGAAAUGCGUAGAGAUCUGGAGGAAUACCGGUGGCGAGGGCGGCCCCCUGGACAAAGACUGACGCUCAGGUGCGAAAGCGUGGGGAGCAAACAGG